rnacentral:rRNA from 1 species
CCUACGGGGGGCAGCAGUGGGGAAUAUUGCGCAAUGGGCGAAAGCCUGACGCAGCGACGCCGCGUGAGGGAUGAAGGUCUUCGGAUCGUAAACCUCUGUCAGCAGGGAAGAACGGUCACUGUGCUAAUCAGCAGUGAAUUGACGGUACCUGCAAAGGAAGCACCGGCUAACUCCGUGCCAGCAGCCGCGGUAAUACGGAGGGUGCGAGCGUUAAUCGGAAUUACUGGGCGUAAAGCGCUCGUAGGCGGUAGGUCAAGUCAAGGGUGAAAUCCCCGCGCUCAACGUGGGAACUGCCUUUGAAACUGGCAAACUUGAGUGUGUGAGAGGAUAGUGGAAUUCCAGGUGUAGGAGUGAAAUCCGUAGAGAUCGGGAGGAACAUCAGUGGCGAAGGCGACCAUCUGGCACAUAACUGACGCUGAGGAGCGAAAGCGUGGGUAGCAAACAGGAUUAGAUACCCUGGUAGUC